rnacentral:rRNA from 1 species
UGGGGAAUAUUGCACAAUGGGCGCAAGCCUGAUGCAGCCAUGCCGCGUGUGUGAAGAAGGCCUCGGGUUGUAAAGCACUUUCAGCGAGGAGGAAGGUGGUGAACUUAAUACGUUCAUCAAUUGACGUUACUCGCAGAAGAAGCACCGGCUAACUCCGUGCCAGCAGCCGCGGUAAUACGGAGGGUGCAAGCGUUAAUCGGAAUUACUGGGCGUAAAGCGCACGCAGGCGGUUUGUUAAGUCAGAUGUGAAAUCCCCGGGCUCAACCUGGGAACUGCAUUUGAAACUGGCAAGCUAGAGUCUCGUAGAGGGGGGUAGAAUUCCAGGUGUAGCGGUGAAAUGCGUAGAGAUCUGGAGGAAUACCGGUGGCGAAGGCGGCCCCCUGGACGAAGACUGACGCUCAGGUGCGAAAA